rnacentral:rRNA from 1 species
GACGAACGCUAGCGGCGUGCUUAACACAUGCAAGUCGAACGGAAAGGCCCCUUUGGGGGUACUCGAGUGGCGAACGGGUGCGUAACACGUGAGUAACCUGCCCUUGACUUCGGGAUAACUUCAGGAAACUGGGGCUAAUACCGGAUAGGAAUCCUUGCUGCAUGGUGGGGGUUGGAAAGCUUCGGCGGUUUUGGAUGGACUCGCGGCUUAUCAGCUUGUUGGUGGGGUAGUGGCUUACCAAGGCUUUGACGGGUAGCCGGCCUGAGAGGGCGACCGGCCACAUUGGGACUGAGAUACGGCCCAGACUCCUACGGGAGGCAGCAGUGGGGAAUAUUGCACAAUGGGCGGAAGCCUGAUGCAGCAACGCCGCGUGCGGGAUGACGGCCUUCGGGUUGUAAACCGCUUUCAGCAGGGGCGAAGCUUGUGGUGACGGUACCUGCAGAAGAAGCACCGGCUAACUACGUG